UACAGAGGGUGCAAACGUUGCUCGGAAUUAUUGGGCGUAAAGCGCGUGUAGGCGGCUUGUUAAGUCGGUCGUGAAAGCCCACGGCUCAACCGUGGAAGUGCAACCGAAACUGGCAAGCUUGAGUUCUGAAGAGGAUGGCGGAAUUCCCAGUGUAGAGGUGAAAUUCGUAGAUAUUGGGAGGAACAUCGGUGGCGAAGGCGGCCAUCUGGGAAGCGACUGACGCUGAGACGCGAAAAGCGUGGGUAGCAAACAGG
rnacentral:rRNA from 1 species